rnacentral:rRNA from 1 species
AUUGAACGCUGGCGGCAUGCCUUACACAUGCAAGUCGAACGGCAGCACGGGAGCAAUCCUGGUGGCGAGUGGCGAACGGGUGAGUAAUAUAUCGGAACGUGCCCAAUCGUGGGGGAUAACGCAGCGAAAGCUGUGCUAAUACCGCAUACGAUCUAAGGAUGAAAGCGGGGGAUCGCAAGACCUCGCGCGAGUGGAGCGGCCGAUAUCAGAUUAGCUAGUUGGUGAGGUAAAGGCUCACCAAGGCGACGAUCUGUAGCUGGUCUGAGAGGACGACCAGCCACACUGGAACUGAGACACGGUCCAGACUCCUACGGGAGGCAGCAGUGGGGAAUUUUGGACAAUGGGCGCAAGCCUGAUCCAGCAAUGCCGCGUGCAGGAUGAAGGCCUUCGGGUUGUAAACUGCUUUUGUACGGAGCGAAAAGGUUCUCUCUAAUAAAGAGGGCUCAUGACGGUACCGUAAGAAUAAGCACCGGCUAACUACGUGCCAGCCGCCGCCGUAACAC